GGACUAAUGGUAGAGGCUUUUCCGAAUCUUUAUCUUCUCACGAAACUCGUCUGCCUCUCUCAGUCUCUCCCUCCCUUUCUCCUUUAUGGGGUUUAUAUUUAGGUGCGCGCCUCUGUGUAUAAUAUGUGUAUAUAUAUAUAUGUGUGUGUGUGUGUGAGAGAGAGAUCAGAGCCAGAGCUCUGUCGAGGCCGAGUAAGCGAAGUAUUAAUGUUACGUACGUACGUCCAAAAUGAAGCCUUCAUCUGCAUUUGCACCUGCACCUUAAUCUACUUAUCGUCUUCCUUCUUUUUUCUUUUUCCUUUUGUUUUUUGAGAUUUUGAUGAGGGCACUUGCAUUUGUGACUACGCUGCGCGUACGAUACAUGUAUAUAUAUGUUAGCAAAACCGGUAAGAAAGCUAUGGCAUGGAAGGCAGUUUGUGUCCAGGUGCAGGUGUGGGUGCAGAUAAAAGCCAUUUUGGUUUCAGGGCUCCGGUUUGCUGACCGGCCGGUCAUAUACCUCCUGUCGACUAAUACAUGCAAAUUCUUUCUCUCUCUUUCGGUUGUGCUCGCCAUCUCGCUUGCAGGUUCAUCGACGUCCAAGAUAAUUUGCUUGGAACCCGCACGCUUCAUGCUAUCUGAAGAGGCUGCAAACCGAGUAAGGCACACAGAUCCCGGGUUUUCCAGGAUUUCUGAAAUUCUAAAAUUUUCGCAAUCCCUAGCUCGUUUUUGGUUUCUAAUAAAUUUAAGUUAAUCUUAUACCCGCCUGAUCCAAGCAAAGAUCAAGAUUCACUUUACGAGACGCGUAUAUGAUUUGAUUGAAGCAGAUCCACUGACGACGCCUAUGUAUUUAGUUCUGUUGGAAAUCUCUUCUUUUAUUGCUUUCGCAGAGAUUUUUCCAUGAGCCAAAAUUGACUGCAACUGGAGCCUGAGAGACAUUACGAUUGAAGAGCUAACCAAGCCAACCAUCAGUAGUAGUACCAACUGUUGGAUCGAAUUAUCGAGGAAAUCAGAAAACUCUUCGCGCAUGCACCAGCUACCACUGGCCAUGGUACCUUUCAGACGGUCGAUCCUCAUAUUCUUACAUAUAUCAUGUGGAAGUACAUGUCGUUGCAGAAAACCCUAAUGAGUUCGUGGCCUCGAUCAAACCUGCAGCCUGUCAAGCCUUGGCAUCCAAGACUUCAUCUUAUGUUCAUAUACGUAUGUAAACACAAUAAAGGUAGUACGGGGAUUAACAUAUGCUUGUGUUAGAGGUAUAAAUACUCUGUUCACUACUUUUAAGCGGAUCUGAUAAUUUUUAAGAUCACGAGAAAAAA